AGCACUCUUUCACAUGCUUUAAACUUACUACAAAAAUGAUAAAAGAAGAAAAAUGAUACCUUACUGGAGAUGAUAUUCAGUAAUUUGUGGAAUUUUUUUUUUUUUUUUUUUUUUUUUGAGAUGGAGUCUUGCUCUGUUGCCAGGCUGGAAUGCAGUAGUGUGAUCUCGAGUCACUGCAACCUCCGCCUCCUGGCUUCAAGUGAUCCUCCUGCCUCAGCCUCUCCAGUAGCUGGGAUUACAGGCACACGCCGCCACGCUCAGAAUGUGGCAGAAGUGAUGCUAUGCCAGUUCUGGGCUUAAACCUUAAUCAGGCCUCGAAACUGCUCUUCUGUCUGGAUGAAGGUAGAUAUAACAUAAGAACUACUGGUGACCAUCAUGCUCUGAGAAGCCAGCCUAACCAUGUGCAGAGGCCACAUGGAGGAAAACCGAGGCCGCCAGUCAACAGCCCUAGAUGAAUUUCCGGCUGCAAUCAGCACUAACCUGCCAGCUAUGAGUGAGGCCAUCUUUGAAGUGGAUCCCUCAGCCCCACUCAACCCACCCAGAUGAUGCCACAUGAACUGCUCCUGCCAAGCCCUGCCCAGAUUGCAGAAUCAUGAGAAAAUAAAUUUAAAAGACUUUGUUUAAGUCAGUAAGUUUAGGGUUAGUUUUUUUUUUGCACAGCAACAGAUAACCAAAGUAGAUAUCUCGUCUCAGCUUAAACACUUUUAGGAACAGAAGACUCCAUGCCUCAUAAAGUAAUCCAUUCUGUUUCUUAAUAGCAACAGUUAUUAGAACACUGUUCUCUAUAUUUAACCAAAAUCUGCCUUCCCGUCACUCACAACCUGUCUCUAUGGUAAAGUCAGUCUGUGUGCCUGCCACAUGGCAGCUCUUCCAGUUUUUUCAAAGAGUCGUGGUCUUUAUUCCCCACACCUCCAGUUCCCAUUGCACCCCGCACACCCAGGUUGCACAUGGACAAGUCUUUUCUUUCUAGACAUAAACAUCUCCAACUCCCUCAUGUCCUGAUUCUUUCCCUACACAGCUCAAACUCUUAUUAGUAAACCAGAUGCUACCUAGAAACACAUGUGGGACCCACAUCACUGUAUAAUAAAGUGAUACCAUCUAAAAGUGUUCCAGAGCGAAGUCAAGCAAUCUUCUCUACGCAUCCAGUUUGUCUUGUGGCUGGUGGGUAUGUGUGCACAUACGUAAGGUUAUUUUUGCUCUUGUUCUAAAAUAUUUCUGAGAGCAUGGGAAAUGGAAUUACUCUGGUAGAACCACAAAUUGAAUAACUAGACCAGAAUAAGUUAUGGGCCUUGCAUGUAUCUGAGAGAAAAUGGGUGGAAUGUUCAAUGUGGUCUCCCACAGCUGCAGAAUGUGAGCCUUUCAGUGUUUUCUUUGCCUUUCAAUACAUGGCUGCUCGGAAAUAUUUUUCUCAGAUAUUUACUGACUAGGCUGAGCAAGGGGGUUGGGUUGAUUGGAGGCAAGUAUGGAAGCAAGGAGAAGAGCUAGGGGCUUGCUGAAAGGAAGGCUGAAGCAGGCUGAGAACCAGAAUCACAGGCACAGGGAGGCCUAGGGCCUGGGUGUCCCAGUCCAGCCCUGGGGCAUCCACAGAAACAGGGCCUGUGAUGCUGCCUUCUGGAGGGGAAAACAAGCAGGGGGUGGGACUGUGUGAGCAAUGGAAGUUAAAAACUAACACAAGAACAGAAAAGCAAAUGCCACUUUUUCUCACUUAUAAGUGCGAGCUAAACACUGAGUACACGUGAACACAGAGAAGGGAACAACAGACAUCGGGGCCUACUGGAGGGUGGAGGGUGGGCAGAGGGUGAGGACUGAUAAACUACUUAUUGGGUACUAUGUUUAUCAUCUGGGUAAUGAAAUAAUCUGUACACCAAGCUCCUCCUACACGAAAUGUACCCAUAUAACAAAUCUGCACAUGUACCCCCGAAACUAAAAAAAUAGAAAAGGUACCCGAGGGAUGAAUGCAGAGCCUCGGCUGCUUGCCUAUGAUCUUCAUAGACCCUUGGGGACUCACCCAUGGAUCUCCAUGGACCCUCGGCUGCUCGCCCAUGAUCUCCAUGGACCCUCAGCUACUCACCCAUGGAUCUCCACGGACCCUCGGCUGCUCACCCAUGAUCUCCAU
rnacentral:lncRNA from 1 species